rnacentral:rRNA from 1 species
ACGCACGUGUGAAACUUGAAGGAAUUGACGGAAGGCACACAAGAACGCGUGGAGCAUGUGGCUUAAUUUGACUCAACGCGGGGAAACUUAUCAGGUCCAAACACGCUGAGGAUUGACAGGUUCUUAUAAGAUAUAUUUAGUUUACUUGUAAACUUUAUAUAAUUUCUUAUAUUAAAUAUGCUAGUCCUUUCAUGAUUGCGUGAUAG